GUUCAGUCAGUGGUUCUCUGCUCGUGAACAAGUCAGUGAAAAUGGAUGAACCUGAUAAGAAAAAGAGGCUUUGCAGCUACAACAAGGAAUGGGAAGCAAAAAGGUCGUGGGUUAAAGCCACCACAGACGCUAGGAGAGCAUUUUGUACAUGAUGCCGCCGAGAGAUAUCUAUUGGCCAUGGUGGCAAGCAUGACUUAUCCCGUCAUGAAGACACAGACUCGCACACAGGAGAUGCUGGAAACUUGAAUAGCCAUGGAAGAAGUAACUGGAUAAGAGGAUGUCCAUGCCACUGUUCUGUAAAUAGUUUGGGCUGUGCAGAAGGAUGAGGAGAUGCUGGAAUCUGGAAUAGCCAUGGAAGAAGUAACUGGAUAAGAGGAGGCCCAUGCCAUACUGAAAAGAUGCAGACCAACAACAUAUUCUCUUAAGUUUUAAUAAAUAGUUUAAAAAACUUGCA